rnacentral:rRNA from 1 species
UCUUCGGGGAGGGGGCGCGGGCCCAUGUUCCUUGGAACAGGACGUCGCAGAGGGUGAGAAUCCCGUGCCAGGCCGGCUGCCUCCGCCCCAGUGAAGGGCCUUCGACGAGUCGAGUUGUUUGGGAAUGCAGCUCCAAGUGGGUGGUAAAUUUCAUCUAAAGCUAAAUACCGGCGGGAGACCGAUAGCGCACAAGUAGAGUGAUCGAAAGAUGAAAAGCACUUUGAAAAUAGAGUCAAAAAGUACGUGAAAUUGUUGAAAGGGAAGCGCUUGAGACCAGACUCGGACCCGGGCAAACAUCGCGCCCCCCGGGGCCGUGCAAUUGCCUGGGGCCGGGCCAGCAUCGGUUGGCGUGGCGGGACAAAGGCGCGGGGAAUGUGGCUCCCCUCGGGGAGUGUUAUUAGGCCCGCGCCCAAUGCCGCCUACGCCGACUGAGGACCGCGCCGCCCGGCUAGGAUGCUGGCUUAAUGGCCUUCAGCGACCCGUCUUGAAACACGGACCAAGGAGUCUAACAUCUAUGCGAGUGUUUGGGCUUGAAACCCUUGCGCGGAAUGAAAGUGAGCGGAGGUGGGAACCCCCCCGCGGGGCGCACCAUCGACCGAUCCUGAUGUCUUCGGAUGGAUUUGAGUAGGA